GCGGAAGGCAACUGGUGCAUACUGGUGCAUACUGGUGUGUACUGGUGCAUACUGGUGCGUACUGGUGCGUACUGGUGCAUACUGGUGUGUACUGGUGCGUACUGGUGUGUACUGGUGCGUACUGGUGUGUACUGGUGCAUACUGGUGCGUACUGGUGCGUACUGGUGCAUACCGGUUUCUUACUGGUCCUUACUGGUGCGUACUGGAGGUCACCAGCGGUGUCCUUUGGCUCUUACUGGUGCGUACUGGUCCUUACUGGUGCCCUCCACCCCAUACUGGUCCUUACUGGUGCCCCCCCCCCUUACUGGUGCGUACUGGUCCUUACUGGUGCCCCCCCCCUUUACUGGUCCUUACUGGUGCCCCCCCCCCCUUUACUGGUCCUUACUGGUGCCCCCCCCCUUACUGGUGCCCUCCACCCCAUACUGGUCCUUACUGGAGCUCCCCACCCAUACUGGUCCCCCAUCCCUCUUAAUGGCGCCCCCCAUAUCCAUACCCCAUAUCCGACCCCAAUAUCCCAUACCAGACCCCAAUACCCCAUAUCCGACCCCAAUACCCCAUAUCCGACCCCACUUCCGACCCCUAUAUCCCAUAUCCACUCCUAAACCCCAUAUCCCUUCUCCAUAUCCCACCCAUAUCCCUGUCCCCAUCCCCCAUCCCAUAUCCGACCCCAUAUCUCACCCCUAUCCCCCCAUAUCCCAUCCCAUAUCCCCAUAUCCCCCAUAUCCUACCCCAUAUCCCGUCCUAUAUCCCAUCUCAUAUCCCAUAUCCCAUCCCAUAUCCCCUCCCAUAUCCUGACCCCACACACCCUCUCCUCCCGCCCCAUAUCCCCAUAUCCCAUAUCCCAUAUCCCGACCUCAUAUCCCGACCCCAUAUCCCUCCAUCCCAUAUCCCUCAUCCCAUAUCCCUCAUCCCAUAUCCCGACCCCAUAAUCCUUCCAUCCCAUAUCCCACCCCUAUCCCCUCAUCCCAUAUCCUAUCCCAUAUCCCGACCCCAUAUCCCUCCAUCCCAUAUCCCUCAUCCCAUAUCCCUCAUCCCAUAUCCCGACCCCAUAUCCCGUCCCCAUAUCCCUCCAUCCCAUAUCCCACCCCUAUCCCCUCAUCUCAUAUCCUAUCCCAUAUCCCGACCCCAUAUCCUAUCCCAUAUUCCGACCCCAUAUCCGCCCCAUAUCCGCCCCGCUCCUCCCCCCGCC
rnacentral:lncRNA from 7 species